GGGCGCGCACGCAGCGGCAGGCGCGGCAAUGUCGCAAGAGCGCGCGGGUUUACGGCAGGGCUGAGUUGGGCGUCGAUCUCCUUAGCAAUGAGAGAGAGGAAGUAGCUAUGGGGCGGCGGUUGAGAACGCUAGGGGUUGCCUAGUAACGGCGUCCCCAGCUAAGGAUGGGUCCCAGGCCUGGUUCCCUGAUCCCAAGAGGCGCCUUUCUUCUAGUCUUCGGAGCGUCUUCCUUCCAUUCUAACUGUGGAAACGGCUCACUUAAAUCCUGAAAUACUUUAUUUAGUUUUUCAUAAAACGAAACAAAACCCGAAACACCUUUAGAUAUGUGUAUUGGAGAGUAGCGUACAGACUCCUGCAACCUCCGGAUCUCAAGGAACAAAGACAGCAGAGAGGAAGAAAUUCACUGGACUACCCCAACAGGAAGAAGAAAGAUUUCCUCCUUGCCCAGCAACAGCCCAGCCAAUGAGAAACUGCCACCACUCAGCCAAUGAGAAACCGUUACUACCCUGAACUCCUGCUUUGCUCCAAGGGAAUUUUGUUCAGAGCAGCCCCCUCCAACGUCCUCCUUUCGCUGCACGGAGUAAUGUUCCCCCAUUUUGUUCUCCGGACUCGCCCUCGGUUUACCAUAGCUAGCGUGUCCCAAAUAAAUUCCUCUGCAAUUCCCAAAUAAACUCAUUUUUUUUUUUGGUAAAA